GGGGAAAGAUAGCAGUGAACAUUUGUGACAAAUGGAGGACGAAACAGCUGUAAUCUUAGUUUUAUCUGUGAAAAAGAAACUUGUCACUCUUAGAAAGUAGUAGGCAGCAAAAAGAUCACAAUGUUUUUAGGAUUGUCAUAAAAUGGGACUGGUCUCUAAUUUUCUGUGACAUCCUCUCCCCUGGCUGUAUUUACCCUGUAAGUGGGAGCACUUCCUGCCUUCACAGGCUUUUAGGAAGAGGGUUAGUGGGUAGAAGGGAUGUAGAAGUCCUGGCCAGGUUGUGGUUGGUACCAAGAGGAGUAUGUAGUGCACUUCAGCCUCAGAUGUUUGUAAAAAAAAAAAAAACUAACUGAAAAAGACUAUUGCCAGGGCUUUAGCUGAAACAGGCUCUCACAUCUAAACAGUCUGCACAAACAUCCCCUCCAGCAUCCCAGCGAUUGUCUAUGGGCCUUCCAGGUUCUGUAUUCUCUGUACAUACCUCUUUUCUGUGAAAACACACCUAGUACAGACAUGGGGUUCAAACUCUCUUGAUGCUCUCUUCUUUGGAGAUGUGGGAAAAUACUUGCAGAUUUAAUAAUCUCACAAACUUUAGUGGCAAUACUAAACAAAAAUCUGUUUGUUCAAAAGCAUUAAUAAAAACUUAGCAUUAAUUUUGUAAGUUCCUACUGAAUUGAUUUCCUCAAGUAACACAGUUUUUAGAAAACGGGAAAGACAAUUAUAUUUUUAAAAUAUUUUUAUUAUUAUGUAUUUUCCUCAAUUACAUUUAGAAUGCUAUCCCAAAAGUCCCCCAUACCCUCUCCCCCACUUCCCUACCCACCCAAACUACACAAUUUAAUGUCAAGUUAAAAAAAAAUACCAAAAUGUCUAUGAAAUUCUUUUCCUGAAAGGUCUUUUUAUUGACAGGACUUUUUUUUUUUUCUGACAAGAACAUUAUGAAUCGGUUUUUGCAUAGACUAUCUCAUUUAGGUUUUAUUACUAGUAUGUGAAGUGAGAUUUUAUUCCCUCCUUUGUUUCUUCUCUUUCUAAUCUUCCUCCCCUUUCUAUUUCUCUCCCCACCUUUAUAUGCUUCCUCCUUCUUUGCUUGCUUUUACCAGCUAACUCAACAAUAUUGUCAUUUGUACUAUAGAUGCUACAAUAUAUAGAAUGCUCUUUCUUUUGGCCACAUAUUUAAGAGUGAAGUUGCUUGUGAGAGUAUAGCAGUGAGGGAAAAAGAGC
rnacentral:lncRNA from 1 species